AUUGAACGCUGGCGGCAGGCUUAACACAUGCAAGUCGAGCGGGGUGAUGGUGCUUGCACUAUCACUUAGCGGCGGACGGGUGAGUAAUGCUUAGGAAUCUGCCUAUUAGUGGGGGACAACAUUUCGAAAGGAAUGCUAAUACCGCAUACGUCCUACGGGAGAAAGCAGGGGAUCUUCGGACCUUGCGCUAAUAGAGUAUCCUAAGUCGGAUUAGCUAGUUGGUGGGGUAAAGGCCUACCAAGGCGACGAUCUGUAGCGGGUCUGAGAGGAGGAUCCGCCACACUGGGACUGAGACAGGGCCCAGACUCCUCCGGGAGGCAGCAGUGGGGGAUAUUGGACAAUGGGCGGAAGCCUGAUCCAGCCAUGCCGCGUGUGUGAAGAAGGCCUUAUGGUUGUAAAGCACUUUAAGCGAGGAGGAGGCUACUUUAGUUAAUACCUAGAGAUAGUGGACGUUACUCGCAGAAUAAGCACCGGCUAACUCUGUGCCAGCCGCCGCAGUAACAC
rnacentral:rRNA from 1 species